CUCCAGACUCCUACGGGAGGCAGCAGUGGGGAAUAUUGCACAAUGGGGGAAACCCUGAUGCAGCGACGCCGCGUGAGUGAAGAAGUAUCUCGGUACGUAAAGCUCUAUCAGCAGGGAAGAAAAUGACGGUACCUGACUAAGAAGCCCCGGCUAACUACGUGCCAGCAGCCGCGGUAAUACGUAGGGGGCAAGCGUUAUCCGGAAUUACUGGGUGUAAAGGGAGCGUAGACGGUGAUGUAAGUCUGGAGUGAAAGGCGGGGGCCCAACCCCCGGACUGCUCUGGAAACUAUGUGACUGGAGUGCAGGAGAGGUGAGCGGAAUUCCUAGUGUAGCGGUGAAAUGCGUAGAUAUCAGGAGGAACACCGGUGGCGAAGGCGGCUUACUGGACCAUAACUGACGUUGAGGCUCGAAAGCGUGGGGAGCGAACAGGAUUAGAUACCCUAGUAA
rnacentral:rRNA from 1 species